ACGGGUGAGUAACACGUGAGCAACCUACCUUACACAGGGGGAUAGCCGUUGGAGACGACGAUUAAUACCGCAUAAGACCACAAUAUCGCAUGGUAUAAGGGUCAAAGAUUUAUCGGUGUAAGAUGGGCUCGCGUCUGAUUAGCUAGUUGGAAGGGUAAAGGCCUACCAAGGCGACGAUCAGUAGCCGGUCUGAGAGGAUGAACGGCCACACUGGAACUGAGACACGGUCCAGACUCCUACGGGAGGCAGCAGUGGGGAAUAUUGCACAAUGGGGGAAACCCUGAUGCAGCGACGCCGCGUGAGCGAAGAAGGUUUUCGAAUCGUAAAGCUCUGUCCUAUGAGAAGAUAAUGACGGUAUCAUAGGAGGAAGCCCCGGCUAAAUACGUGCCAGCAGCCGCGGUAAUACGUAUGGGGCGAGCGUUGUCCGGAAUUAUUGGGCGUAAAGGGUACGUAGGCGGCCUUUUAAGUCAGGUGUGAAAGCGUGAGGCUUAACCUCAUUAAGCACUUGAAACUGGAAGGCUUGAGUGAAGGAGAGGAAAGUGGAAUUCCUAGUGUAGCGGUGAAAUGCGUAGAUAUUAGGAGGAAUACCGGUGGCGAAGCGACUUUCUGGACUUUUACUGACGCUCAGUACGAAAGCGUGGGGAGCAAACAGGAUUAGAUACUCCUGUAGUCCACGCCGUAAAC
rnacentral:rRNA from 1 species